GCGUAAGAGCUCGUAGGUGGUUUGAUACGUCGGGUGUGAAAUUCAGGGGCUCAACCCCUGACCUGCAUUCGAUACGGUCAAGCUAGAGUUUGGUAGGGGAGACUGGAAUUCCUGGUGUAGCGGUGGAAUGCGCAGAUAUCAGGAGGAACGCCGAUGGCGAAGGCAGGUCUCUGGGCCAAUACUGACACUGAGGAGCGAAAGCGUGGGGAGCGAACAGGAUUAGAUACCCUGGUAGUCCACGCCGUAAACGAUGGGCGCUAGUUGUGCGAACCUUCCAUGGUUUGUGCGACGCAGCUAACGCAUUAAGCGCCCCGCCUGGGGAGUACGAUCGCAAGAUUAAAACUCAAAGGAAUUGACGGGGCCCCGCACAAGCAGCGGAGCAUGCGGCUUAAUUCGACGCAACGCGAAGAACCUUACCAAGGCUUGACAUAUACAGGAAUACGGCAGAGAUGUCGUAGCGGUUAAACGUCUGUAUACAGGUGGUGCAUGGUUGUCGUCAGCUCGUGUCGUGAGAUGUUGGGUUAAGUCCCGCAACGAGCGCAACCCUCGUUCUGUGUUGCCAGCAUUUAGUUGGGGACUCACAGGAGACUGCCGGGGUUAACUCGGAGGAAGGUGGGGAUGACGUCAAAUCAUCAUGCCCCUUAUGUCUUGGGCUGCACGCAUGCUACAAUGGCUGGUACAAAGGGCUGCAAUACUGCAAAGUGGAGCGA
rnacentral:rRNA from 1 species